AUUGAACGCUGGCGGCAGGCCUAACACAUGCAAGUCGAACGAGUGGCGGACGGGUGAGUAAUGUCUGGGAACCUGCCUGAUGGAGGGGGAUAACUACUGGAAACGGUAGCUAAUACCGCAUAACAUCAUAUGUGCCCAGAUGGGAUUAGCUUGUUGGUGGGGUAACGGCUCACAAAGGCGACGCUCCCUAGCAGGUCUGAGAGGAUGACCAGCCACACUGGAACUGAGACACGGCCCAGACUCCUACGGGAGGCAGCAGUGGGGAAUAUUGCACAAUGGGCGCAAGCCUGAUGCAGCCAUGCCGCGUGUAUGAAGAAGGCCUUCGGGUUGUAAAGUACUUUCAGCGGGGAGGCGUUACCCGCAGAAUAAGCACCGGCUAACUCCGUGCCAGCAGCCGCGGUAAUUC
rnacentral:rRNA from 1 species